UUCAUCUCCGGGGGUAGAGCACUGUUUCGGCUAGGGGGCCAUCCCGGCUUACCAACCCGAUGCAAACUGCGAAUACCGGAGAAUGUUAUCACGGGAGACACACGGCGGGUGCUAACGUCCGUCGUGAAGAGGGAAACAACCCAGACCGCCAGCUAAGGUCCCAAAGUCAUGGUUAAGUGGGAAACGAUGUGGGAAGGCCCAGACAGCCAGGAUGUUGGCUUAGAAGCAGCCAUCAUUUAAAGAAAGCGUAAUAGCUCACUGGUCGAGUCGGCCUGCGCGGAAGAUGUAACGGGGCUAAACCAUGCACCGAAGCUGCGGCAGCGACACUGUGUGUUGUUGGGUAGGGGAGCGUUCUGUAAGCCUGUGAAGGUGUGUCGUGAGGCAUGCUGGAGGUAUCAGAAGUGCGAAUGCUGACAUAAGUAACGAUAAAGCGGGUGAAAAGCCCGCUCGCCGGAAGACCAAGGGUUCCUGUCCAACGUUAAUCGGGGCAGGGUGAGUCGACCCCUAAGGCGAGGCCGAAAGGCGUAGUCGAUGGGAAACGGGUUAAUAUUCCCGUACUUGGUGUUACUGCGAAGGGGGGACGGAGAAGGCUAUGUUGGCCGGGCGACGGUUGUCCCGGUUUAAGCGUGUAGGUGUGUGUUCCAGGUAAAUCCGGUUCACUUUAACACUGAGGCGUGACGACGAGGCACUACGGUGCUGAAGCAACAAAUGCCCUGCUUCCAGGAAAAGCCUCUAAGCAUCAGGUAACAUCAAAUCGUACCCCAAACCGACACAGGUGGUCAGGUAGAGAAUACCAAGGCGCUUGAGAGAACUCGGGUGAAGGAACUAGGCAAAAUGGUGCCGUAACUUCGGGAGAAGGCACGCUGACACGUAGGUGAAGUGAUUUACUCAUGGAGCUGAAGUCAGUCGAAGAUACCAGCUGGCUGCAACUGUUUAUUAAAAACACAGCACUGUGCAAACACGAAAGUGGACGUAUACGGUGUGACGCCUGCCCGGUGCCGGAAGGUUAAUUGAUGGGGUCAGCGCAAGCGAAGCUCCUGAUCGAAGCCCCGGUAAACGGCGGCCGUAACUAUAACGGUCCUAAGGUAGCGAAAUUCCUUGUCGGGUAAGUUCCGACCUGCACGAAUGGCGUAAUGAUGGCCAGGCUGUCUCCACCCGAGACUCAGUGAAAUUGAACUCGCUGUGAAGAUGCAGUGUACCCGCGGCAAGACGGAAAGACCCCGUGAACCUUUACUAUAGCUUGACACUGAACAUUGAGCCUUGAUGUGUAGGAUAGGUGGGAGGCUUUGAAGUGUGGACGCCAGUCUGCAUGGAGCCGACCUUGAAAUACCACCCUUUAAUGUUUGAUGUUCUAACGUGGACCCGUUACCCGGGUUGCGGACAGUGUCUGGUGGGUAGUUUGACUGGGGCGGUCUCCUCC
rnacentral:rRNA from 1 species